CAGCCGAGAGGACCCCCUCGGAGAUCCAGUUUCACCAGGUGAAAUUUGGCGCCCCACGCAGGAAGGAAACUGACCCGCUGAAUGAGCCGUGGGAGGAAGAGUGGACACUACUGGGAAAGGAAGAGCUGAGUGGGAGCCUGCUGCAGUCGGUCCAGGAGGCCUUGGAGGAAAGGAGUCUGACCAUUCGGUCAGCCUCAGAAUUCCAGGUGCCACACAGAAGGAGGCUGGAGCUGGGAUCCAGGCCACUGCAGAGGGUACGAUUGGAGUGGGAUACGGUUACAGGGCAACCUGGUAACGGCUGGGCUGGGCCCUGCCCCUCCUACCAGGAGCUGGACUCCCCAGAUGAUACCAUGGGAACCAUCAAGCGGGCCCCGUUCCUAGGGCCACUCCCCCCUGAGCCUCCAGCAGAGGAGCCUCUGUCCAGUCCCCCAGGAACCGUGCCCCCACCUCCUUCAGGCCCCAAUAGCUCCCCACGGCUGCCCACGGCCUGGGCCACCAUGAAGCAGCGGGAGGAUCCUGAGGUGAGAGGGUGCUACAAGGGGGUGGGGAGACGGGCGGCUACAGCUGUCAUAUCAGCCCUGACUCCUUCCCUCCCUCCCAGAGGUCGUCCUGCCACGGGCUCCCCCCAACUCCCAAGGUGCAUGUAAGUGUUUG
rnacentral:sRNA from 1 species